rnacentral:lncRNA from 1 species
GGAAACUCUAGCCAGGUGAGUGAUGGGGCAGCUGCCAUCCUGCUGGCCCGGAGGUCCAAGGCAGAAGAGUUGGGCCUUCCCAUCCUUGGGGUCCUGAGGUCUUAUGCAGUGGUUGGGGUCCCACCUGACAUCAUGGGCAUUGGACCUGCCUAUGCCAUCCCAGUAGCUUUGCAAAAAGCAGGUAAGGUGGCUCCUUCAUAUAGUAUCUGGGUCCCACCUGGAUCCUGCAGCUGCCCUGCAUGCUGUUGCCAGGGGCAUGAGGGUGGUCCUGUGGGUGCUGCAGAGUGGAGGUGGGGCAGGCUAGUGUCCCAUACUUCAAGCCCUUCCUGACCCCACAGCUGGGAUUGGCUCACCCUUCUGGAAGAGACACACACCAGGCAGCCUGUAGGCCCAUGGAUGGGGUGGGCCCCAGGGGAGGCAGAGGGCCAGUGUGUCAGCUCAGGUCUUUACCUUGUCUGCAGGGCUGACAGUGAGUGACGUGGACAUCUUCGAGAUCAAUGAGGCCUUUGCAAGCCAGGCUGCCUACUGUGUGGAGAAGCUACGACUCCCCCCUGAGAAGGUGAACCCCCUGGGGGGUGCAGUGGCCUUAGGGCACCCACUGGGCUGCACUGGGGCACGACAGGUCAUCACGCUGCUCAAUGAGCUGAAGCGCCGUGGGAAGAGGGCAUACGGAGUGGUGUCCAUGUGCAUCGGGACUGGAAUGGGAGCCGCUGCCGUCUUUGAAUACCCUGGGAACUGAGUGAGGUCCCAGGCUGGAGGCGCUACGCAGACAGUCCUGCUGCUCUAGCAGCAAGGCAGUAACACCACAAAAGCAAAACCACAUGGGAAAACUCAGCACUGGUGGUGGUGGCAGUGGACAGAUCAAGGCACUUCAAC